rnacentral:rRNA from 1 species
UACGUAGGGGGCGAGCGUUAUCCGGAUUCAUUGGGCGUAAAGCGCGCGUAGGCGGCCGCCUAAGCGGGACCUCUAACCCCGGGGCUCAACCCCGGGCCGGGUCCCGGACUGGGCGGCUCGAGUGCGGUAGAGGAGAGCGGAAUUCCCGGUGUAGCGGCGGAAUGCGCAGAUAUCGGGAAGAACACCGAUGGCGAAGGCAGCUCUCUGGGCCGUCACUGACGCUGAGGCGCGAAAGCUGGGGGAGCGAACAGG